CCUACGGGUGGCAGCAGUGGGGGAUAUUGGUCAAUGGGGGAAACCCUGAACCAGCAACGCCGCGUGAGGGAAGACGGCCUUCGGGUUGUUAAACUAAGUUAUCAGGGAUGAAACAAAUGACAGUACCUGACAAGCAAGCUCCGGCUAACUACGUGCCAGCAGCCGCGGUAAUACGUAGGGAGCAAGCGUUGUCCGGAUUUACUGGGGGUAAAGGGUGCGUAGGCGGGAACGCAAGUCAGGCGGGAAAUACCGGGGCUCAACUCCGGGGCUGCGGUUGAAACUGUGGUUCUUGAGUGAAGUAGAGGCAGGCGGAAUGCCUGGUGUAGCGGUGGAAUGCGUAGAUAUUAGGAGGAACGCCAGUGGCGAAGGCGGCCUGCUGGGCUUUAACUGACGCUGAUGCACGAAAGCAUGGGGAGCAAACAGGAUUAGAUACCCCGGUAGUC
rnacentral:rRNA from 1 species